CGCGAAGAACCUUACCUGGUCUUGACAUCCACGGAAGUUUUCAGAGAUGAGAAUGUGCCUUCGGGAACCGUGAGACAGGUGCUGCAUGGCUGUCGUCAGCUCGUGUUGUGAAAUGUUGGGUUAAGUCCCGCAACGAGCGCAACCCUUAUCCUUUGUUGCCAGCGGUUAGGCCGGGAACUCAAAGGAGACUGCCAGUGAUAAACUGGAGGAAGGUGGGGAUGACGUCAAGUCAUCAUGGCCCUUACGACCAGGGCUACACACGUGCUACAAUGGCGCAUACAAAGAGAAGCGACCUCGCGAGAGCAAGCGGACCUCAUAAAGUGCGUCGUAGUCCGGAUUGGAGUCUGCAACUCGACUCCAUGAAGUCGGAAUCGCUAGUAAUCGUGGAUCAGAAUGCCACGGUGAAUACGUUCCCGGGCCUUGUACACACCGCCCGUCACACCAUGGGAGUGGGUUGCAAAAGAAGUAGGUAGCUUAACCUUCGGGAGGGCGCUUACCACUUUGUGAUUCAUGACUGGGGUGAAGUCGUAACAAGGUAACCGUAGGGGAACCUGC
rnacentral:rRNA from 1 species